GCCACCUCCCCCUUUGCUCUCAUUUUUGCUCUCUCCACUCACACCCACUCCAUCCCCUCCUUCUCCCACGAGCUGCUGCCCCUCCUUGCUUGCAUGGCCGGCCAUGGCCAUGGAAACCUCUCCAAGAUGCAACUCCCUCCUCCCUCAAGCUUUCCCUCACCAUGAGAGCCUCCCUCUCCAUCUUCUCCCCAACCUUAGAUGGUUUAAUCUCCUCUUCUUCUUCCUCCAUUGCUAAGAUUGGAUCUUGAUGCAGGUGCAUGUUGGUCCAAGCAUGGAGAAGCAUGAGCAAUCCUCAGAUCUGAAGUUCUUGAGCAAAAUCCAAAUCGAGUGAUUCAAAGUUCCGCAGAUAGAUACGGAAAAGAUCUACAACUUGGCGUUGGUCUCAUCCUCAAAUUCGUUACGGAUUGUCCGUGCUGUAGGUGAAAGCCCUCUUCAGUACCUUCAUUUUGGCGGUGGUUUCACUUCGAUUGACCUCCUGAAACUGAAAUGGUUCACAGAUCAAGAUCUGAUCAGAUCUGACUUUGUCGAAUUAAACCAGGAGCUUGGGAAUGAAUUUUUGAAUGAAACCAAUUGGGGGAUACUUAGUUGUGCCAUGGUGAUACCGAGAGAGGCAAUUGCUAAGUUAUGAUACUCUCAUACCUUUACUAGAUGCGAACGAUUCCGGAGAAGAAGAAGAAGUGGUUCGGACAAGGAUUUUAUUUAUAUUGACGGGAUUCUUAUAUUGAUGAAGUUGAAGAAGUCCAGGGACAAAUAAGCCAAG